AGAGUUUGAUCCUGGCUCAGGAUGAACGCUGGCGGCGUGCCUAAUACAUGCAAGUCGAGCGGAAAGGCCUCUUCGGAGGUACUCGAGCGGCGGACGGCAGAGUAACGCGUAGGAGCAUACCCCAAACUGAGGGAUAACUGCCCGAAAGGGUGGCUAAUACCGCAUGUGAUCUUCGGAUUAAAGCUUCGGCGGUUUGGGAAUGGCCUGCGUUCGAUUAGCUAGUUGGUGAGGUAAAGGCUCACCAAGGCGACGAUCGAUAACUGGUCUGAGAGGAUGAUCAGUCUGACUGGAACUGAGACACGGUCCAGACUCCUACGGGAGGCAGCAGUAGGGAAUUUUCCACAAUGGGCGAAAGCCUGAUGGAGCAACGCCGCGUGCAGGAUGAAGGCCCUUGGGUCGUAAACUGCUUUUAUGUGAGAAGAAUAUGACGGUAACACAUGAAUAAGGGUCGGCUAACUACGUG
rnacentral:rRNA from 1 species